ACGGGAGGCAGCAGUCGGGAAUAUUGGGCAAUGGAGGAAACUCUGACCCAGCAAUACCGCGUGAAGGAUGAAGGUCUUCGGAUUGUAAACUUCUGUUAUAAAGGAAGAAACAAAUGACGGUACUUUAUAAGUAAGCCCCGGCAAACUACGUGCCAGCAGCCGCGGUGAUACGUAGGGGGCAAGCGUUGUCCGGAAUGACUGGGUGUAAAGGGUGUGUAGGUGGCUUUUUAAGUUGGAAGUGAAAGCCCGGGGCUUAACUCCGGAACUGCUUUCAAAACUGGAUGGCUUGAGUGUGGGAGAGGUUAGUGGAACUCCUAGUGUAGCGGUGGAAUGCGUAGAUAUUAGGAAGAACAUCAGAGGCGAAGGCGACUAACUGGACCACAACUGACGCUGAGACACGAAAGCGUGGGGAGCAAACAGGAUUAGAUACCCUGGUA
rnacentral:rRNA from 1 species